CCAAAAUUUACGCCAAACACCCUGAAACCCAGAAAAAGAAAAAAAAAAACAAAUCCCAUCCCUCCCCUCUCCCUUAUCCCCUCCGGCCUCUCCCUCACGUUCUCCGUCGCCGUCCCGAUCCACUCACCGCCCGGCGCACCACCCCUCGGCGGCGGAUGGCGAGGUCGGCGGCGCGGAGCGCGGGGGACGGUGGGAGCUCCUCCCUUCUCCUUCCACGGACGGCGCUCCUCCUACGUCGCGGCUUCCUCUCUCCUCUCCUCACAUCAUGGCGGCGGUCAAGAGGCCGGGGACGCGGCGGCGGAGGAGGCCGAGACGGGGGUGGAGCCACCGAUUCCCCGCGCCCCGACGAGCUCGGCGGAGUGGCGCGGAGCUCGCCGGCGUGGAGCGGGAUGGCACGGAGCUCGGCCAGCCUCCUCUCGCCAGCCACUUCCGUCGCCAUCCCUCUGCGGCGGUGGCGGUGGCGGUGGCGGUGGCGGUGGCGGCGAGGCGAUUGAACCCGAGCGAAUCGUCAGCAGCAGAUCGAGGCGCCGUGCCUGGGUCUCGUCAGAUUUCCAGCCCAGCAAGGCAAGGCCCAAGGACCUAAACUGUUGGGCUGUUGGGCUCGAUCAAGUCAGGAUAUGUCCAGGGAUGCGGCGGCCCGACCACGCUGCUUCACUCGCCGCCGUCCGCCUCCUCCUCCUCAACACCACCACACCUUCGGAGCCGCAGCUCAUCGGCGGCUACCUCCUCUUCUUGGGUGUCAUGCCCCUGCCGGCGACUCCCGCCUACGGCGCCGUCCAUCUACCGCGCCACACCGGUGUCUCCAUGGACACCAGCGCUGAGGCCAUCUUCGUCGGACCAUCACCGCCUGUUACGGCUGACAUCGAGGAAUCCUUAAGUGAUUACACAAGUAUGAUGGAGGGUUGGACUAAAGAGCAUGUAUUGGCAGCACGUGGUCUUCGUAAUAAGGUUGCGCCUAUUCGUGUUGAGGCCAUGCGCCUAGGGAUUGCUGCUGACAGUGCUGGAAUCACAUGUUUUUUGGAUGCUUUUGAUGAGUGUAUGAAGCGAGUUGAUCUGCAUCUAGUUACUCAGAAGAACUCAUUUCAAGAAUUUCUUGGUAGUCCACUACAGCAAACAGUUCCAGACACUUGUGCGAUUGUCUCUUCCACCAAGUGCGUAGAGGUACAGCAUAGAAGGGAGUACGAGACUAUGCACGGGACUGGCUCCUUCCCCUGCAACGCCGCGGCCCCCCGCAAGCUGCGUAGGGCCUGCUUCUGCCAGAAGGUGUGGAAGCCGAAAAAGGGAGCUCGAGUGGGAGAUGUGAUUGAUAUGAUACAGAGGUUAGGUGGAGCGAGGACGACAAGCGCACCAGCUCCAGCGCCAUAUAUGCUGCCAGUGCGCUCGUGGCAGCGGCACCGGUGGGACGUUGGUGGUGGCCUGACUGCGGACCGCAUCGCCGAGCUUCUUGACACACGCGGGCCUUUCAUUGGAACCAUAUGGGUAUGCCCAUGGUAUGAUUUGUUCAACUCGGUUGAAGAUGAAGAUCUGGUUUACAGGUCAGGCUGUGCACGGAGCAAGGUGCUUCAGAGGUUGAGCAAGUUCUGUUUUGGAAAGGAUCUCGUCGGCCUUCAUUCAGUGUUGUGCUUUGAAUACCGCAUCUGCGACGGAUAACUCCACAUACACAUCUUGGAUAACCACGAGACCACUGGACCGCAGCGAUGGAUUCAUCACUCCGAGUUGGAGGAGGUGCAUACCAUCACUGUGGAGCGGAUCAAUCAUCUUGGUGACCGCCACAUCAGGUAUCCACACAGCGGAGUGUCUUGACUUGGAGUGUCUUUGUUCGUUUUCGUUUUCGUUCUCACUCGAAAACGAAAAACAACAAAACUCACGCCCUCUUGUGUUGCGCCUUGUAUUUGUUACUGAUUCUUCCUUUUGUUAAUGUUCUUGUAUAUAUACUCCGUAUAUCAACUUCCUUGUAACCAUAUCACUACAUUUGUCAUCUCCUCGAGAAAAAAAAUAUUCUAGACUAUGACCACC
rnacentral:lncRNA from 1 species